GCUUGGUUUACCAAUACAAAUAUUAAAAUUGAAACAACAUAGAGAAGAUUGUCAUGACACUUAUACAAGAAUGGCACACAAAUCAGGAGUCAUUUGCUAAUUUU